rnacentral:tRNA from 1 species
AAAAAGGUAGCAUAAUUUAGUGCGUCUUGUUUACACCAAGACUGUGGUAUCUUACCCCUUUUUU